rnacentral:lncRNA from 1 species
GCUCCAGGAGCCAUGGCUUUUCAGAUUCCAUUUCAUCCGAAACCAAACACGUCACUCUGAGAAGUUCGUGGAGAACAAGGCAAGGCUUACAUUCCCUGGAGGACUCUCAAAUAAAAAUGGAGAAAAACACAGCUUCCAGCCCUACAAAUGCAUGCAGGUCUUCAGUGGACCUCUCCGAGAUGGAAGGGAGCAGCACACAAACAAACUCCUUGGAGCAGAGCUCAGCGAGGAGCAGUGCCAGCACCAACUCCUGGAACACCCCUGAGAUGGGCUCCCGAAGGACCAAAAGUAACUUAAGUGCAUCUGAACUGCUGACACGCAGGAACUACACCAGUGAUCCCACCACAGCUUCCCCCUGGCACCGCACCACGUUACCUGAUGAAAGCAAAGAUUUUGUCUCCAGUUCCAGAAGAAAACAAUAUGGCUCUUCCGAGUACCUCUCGCAGGCUGACACGGCAGGGAGAAGGGCAGUCCUCCCCCUGGAGCUGCAGGACCCCACAUCCAGCCCCAAUACCCCACCAGGGCUCCAGGCAGAAGAUCAGGGUGCUUCCCGUGUUGGCCGGCCGACGUCCCGGAGAUGA